rnacentral:rRNA from 1 species
CCUACGGGCGGCAGCAGUGGGGGAUAUUGCACAAUGGGGGAAACCCUGAUGCAGCGACGCCGCGUGGGUGAAGAAGCGCCUCGGCGCGUAAAGCCCUGUCAGCAGGGAAGAAAAUGACGUUACCUGAAGAAGAAGCACCGGCUAACUACGUGCCAGCAGCCGCGGUAAUACGUAGGGGGAAAGCGUUAUCCGGAUUUACUGGGGGGAAAGGGGGCGCAGACGGCGAUGCAAGCCAGGAGUGAAAGCCCGGGGCCCAACCAGGGGACUGCUCUUGGGACUGGGUGGCUAGAGUGCAGGAGGGGCAGGCGGAAUUCCAGGUGUAGCGGUGAAAUGCGUAGAGAUCAGGAGGAAGACCGGUGGCGAAGGCGGCCUGCUGGACGGAAACUGACGUUGAGGCGCGAAAGCGUGGGGAGCAAACAGGAUUAGAUACCCUGGUAGUC